AGCACUCAGAAGUGAUCUAUAAACAUUUUGCCUAAAGUGAAUAUAACUAAACGUCGAUGAUAAAUAGGAAUAGACAUUUUCUUUUUCAUAUUCGCAGAUGAUUGGAUAGUUUUUCUUAAUUAUAUAAGGAUGAAGAAGGUAGUAGUUUUUUUCAUGAUCAUUUUUACAAGCCAACUCUUCACAUCUCAUGGGCAAGACUGUCAGAGUGGGCAGGAAGUGCAAAACACUCUUCGUCAGGUCCAGAAGCUUCUCUCCACCCAAGAAACCUCAUUCCUACAGAGUCUACGAACCCUCCGCAAGAAACUCAGCCUGUUACAGAACAGCACAGUGAAAUACAACAAAAUCAACACAGGCAAGAGCAGCACAGGCUGCCCUCCUCCAGAGUCUGUGGCUAAUGGGCGGAUCCUUGGGCAUGUAUUUAAGGUGGGCCAUGAGGUCCACUUCCUGUGUAGCCCUGGGUUUCAGCUGAUUGGCUCAGAAACCAGUGUCUGUCUGGAUACCCAAAGCUGGAGUGGAACACAACCAUCCUGCAAGUUUAUGGACACCACUGUAAACAAUGAUGCCUCUGCUACUACAUCAGCAUACUCUUCCUCAUCUUCCUAUCGUGCUCCUGCGUCCAUCUCCACAUACGUGCGACCGUCCCGCUGCAUUGAGUUUCUAGGCUCCAUCCACUGCACAUGUGAACAAGGCUACAGCAUCUCCAGCCAGGACAGCACUCUGUGCACAGACAUUGAUGAAUGUGAACUCUUCCGUCUAACUCAGCCUGGCCGUCUGUGUUUGCAUACCUGUGUGAAUACGGCUGGAAGUUUCCACUGUCAGUGUCCUGCGGGUUACAGCCUUGGCCGAGACAGCAGGACCUGCCAAGACAUUGACGAGUGUGCGAGAGGGACCCAUAACUGCACUAGUGAGCAGGUGUGUGUGAAUACAUACGGCGGUCAUCGCUGUGUGGAUGUUCAGUGCCCUCACUUCCGCAACGCCACCUACAUCAAAACCUCACCGCUGCGUUGUGAUCGUAACCCUUGCCUCCAAGACAACAAAGUCUGCCUGCAGGCUCCAGUCUCCAUUAACUUCCACUUCAUGUCUUUGGUGUCCAACAUGUCGACACCUACCAUCCUCUUUCGGCUGUCUGCAACUCGCAUCCUGGGCGACACGCUGCGGUUCGGUCUGUUGGGUAACUGGGGAGUCAAGCACUUCACCGUCCAGCGGUCGGACAGAAAGACGGGCCAACUGGUGCUGUUGAACUCCGUACAGGGCCCUGCUACGUUGGAGGCUGAUAUAGAAAUGAGCGAGCUGGAGAGGAGGGUGCUGCUCGGGCGUUAUAUCACAAAAGUCACUCUCUUUGUGUCCCCGUAUAACUUUUGAGAGAGGAAGACAGACGAUGGACUGACAACACGGUGAAAUAAUUUACAGGUGAGAUAUUGGCGGCCGGGCCUGCGGAGGUGAGAUAGGAGUGCUAUUAUACUCAUUUCUGAGGUGCCAAUUUAAGAGGACUAAAUCGUUUUUUGUUGCACGGGCAGAGAAAUGAUAUUUCCUCAGAAUAAGAAAAUAAAAUCAUGAUUUUCUAUUUCUACCAAAGUAUUUAUGCAGUGUUGUUGCUAUUUUUAAUACACUGCCUGGCCAAAAAAAGUUGCAGUUUGGAUUUAAAUAAGCAGAUACCUAUGAUUGGAUCAUUAUUGCAGUGAUUAAUAUGUUUCAGCUGGCAACAAUUUUUUUAAUCCUAACUGAUGCAGUGUGUAGCUUCUCAUUCCUUAAAGAUCCAUGUCGGAAUAUAUAUCAUGGUCAUGGAAAUGAUGUUACUGUGUUUCAGAAGAGGCAAAUUAUUGGCCUGCUUUGUGUUAUGAUCUGGGGUUGAAUCAAUUGGUCAGGUCUAGGCUCAAGAACGUUAUACAGCAAUAAAAUGAAGUCAGCUGACUAUCUGAAUGUACUGAAUGAACAGGUUAUCCCAUCAGUGGAUUUUUUUCUUCCCUGACGACACAGGCAUAUUCCAGGAUGACAAUGUCAAGAUUCAUCAAUCUCAAAUUGUGAAAGAGUGGUUCAGGGAGCACGAGGAAUCAUUUUCACACAUGAAUUGGCCACUACAGAGUC